rnacentral:tRNA from 1 species
GCAGAGGUGGCGGAGCAUGGUUUAACGCGCAGGACUGCUAAUCCUGUUCCUUCGGGAGCUCGGGUUCAAAUCCCGACCUCUGCG